AUGAAACUUGGGAGAAUUGUUGCUGGCGCAAGCAUUGUGCACGUUCUCCCUUAAUCCAUUCAACACCUGUGCACUCUGAGGGAGAGAAAGACUCUUAUUCGGUCUUAGAUCGAAUGUUUGUUUCUCUUUCCCUCCUUUUAAAAACAAACUCUGAUAAUCGAAUGUUCAUUAGGCCGAAAGGCUAUAUAAUAAAA
rnacentral:misc_RNA from 1 species